rnacentral:pre_miRNA from 1 species
UCUGAGAUCUAAAAGCAGGUAAGCCACUGACUAACGCACAUUGUGCCAUUUGCCAGUUCCACUGUGCGUGUGACAGCGGCUAACCUGGUUUUGGGAAUACCGCUCA